GGCUUCAGCGACAAGCAGGUUGCCGCCAGGGUCAAUGCCUCGGAGCUCGAGGUCCGUAGGUCGCGCAAGGAGGCGGGCAUCGUG
rnacentral:SRP_RNA from 1 species